UGAGUUAACCUGUAGCAGCAGGGAGGAUGAGGCACUGAGUUAACCUGUAUCAGCAGGGAGGGUGAGGGAUUGAGUUAACUUGUAGCAGCAGGGAGGGUGAGACACUGAGUUAACCUGUAUCAGCAGGGAGGGUGAGACACCGAGUUAACCUGUAGCAGAAGGGAGGGUGAGGCACUGAGUUAACCUGCAGCAACAGGGACGAUGAGGCACUUAGUUAUCCUGUAGCAGCAGGGAGGGUGAGGCACUGAGUUAACCUGUAGCAGCAGGGAGGGCCAGGCACUGAGUUAACCUGCAGCACCAGGGAGGGUGAGGCACUGAGUUAACCUGUAGCAGCAGGGAGGGUGAGGCACUGAGUUAACCUGCAGCAGCAGGGACAGUGAGGUACUUAGUUAACCUGUAGCAGCAGGGACGAUGAGGCACUUAGUUAACCUGUAGCAGCAGGGAGGGUGAGGCACUUAGUUAACCUGUAGCAGCAGGGAGGAUGAGGCACUGAGUUAAUCUGUAUCAGUAGGGAGAGUGAGGCACUGAGUUAACCUGCAGCACCAGGGAGGGUGAGGCACUGAGUUAAUCUGUAUCAGUAGGGAGAGUGAGGCACUGAGUUAACCUGCAGCACCAGGGAGGAUGAGGCACUGAGUUAAUCUGUAUCAGUAGGGAGAGUGAGGCACUGAGUUAACCUGCAGCACCAGGGAGGGUGAGGCACUGAGUUAACCUGUAGCAGCAGGGAGGGUGAGGCACUUAGUUAACCUGUAGCAGCAGGGACGAUGAGGCACUGAGUUAAUCUGUAUCAGUAGGGGGAAUAAGGCACUGAGUUAAUCUGUAGCAGUUGGGAGGAUGAGGCACUGAGUUAAUCUGUAGCAGUUGGGAGGAUGAGGCACUGAGUUAACCUGUAGCAGCAGGGAGAAUAAGGCACUGAGUUAACCUGUAGCAGUAGGUACGAUGAGGCACUGAGUUAACCUGUAGCAGCAGGGAGGGUGAGGCACUGAGUUAACCUGUAGCAGCAGGGAGGGUGAGGUACUGAGUUAACCUGUAGCAGCAGGGAGGGUGAGGUACUGAGUUAACCUAUAGCAGCAGGGAGGAUGAGGCACUGAGUUAACCUGUAGCAGCAGGGAGGAUGAGGGACUGAGUUAACCUGUAGCAGCAGGGAGGGUGAGGCAUUGAGUUAACCUGUUGCAGUAGGAAGGAUGAGGCACUGAGUUAACCUGUAUCAUUAAGGAGAAUAAGGCACUAAGUUAACCUGUAGCAGCAGGGAGGACGAGGCAUUGAGUUAACCUGUAGCAGCAGGGAGGAUGAGGCACUGAGUUAACCUGUAGCAGCAGGGAGGGUGAGGCACUGAGUUAACCUGUAGCAGCAGGAAGGGUGAGGCACUGAGUUAACCUGUAGCAGCAGGGAGGAUGAGGCACUGAGUUAACCUGUAGCAGCAGGGAGGGUGAGGCACUGAGUUAACCUGUAGCAGCAAGGAGGGUGAGGCACGGAGUUAACCUGUAUCAGUAGGGAGGAUGAGGCACUGAGUUAACCUAUAGCAGCAGGGAGGGUGAGGCACUGAGUUAACCUGUAGCAGCAGGGAUGGUAAGGCACUGAGAUAACCUGUAGCAGCAGGUAGGGUAAGGCACUGAGUUAACCUGUAGCAGCAGGGUGCGUGAGGCACUGAGUUAACCUGUAGCAGCAGGGAGGAUUAGGCACUGAGUUAACCUGUAGUAGCAGGGAGGAUUAGGCACUGAGUUAACCUGUAGUAGCAGGGAGGAUUAGGCACUGAGUUAACCUGUAGUAGCAGAGAGGGUAAGGCAUUUAGUUUAUUGCCAGUAGCAGGGGGGAUUAGAUGCUGAGGUAACCUAUUACAGCAGAGGGGAUGAGGUACUGAGGUUAAGCAGCAACAGAUUAGAUCCUGAGGUAACCAGUAGCAGCAGGGGCUGAGGUAAUUGUGAGUAGCAGGGUGGAUGAGGCAUUGAGUUACUUGACAGCAGCAGGGUGAAUUAUAUCCUGAGUAACCUGUAGCAGCAGGGGGAAUAGGUGCUAAGAUAAUCAGCGGCAUGGGGAGAUAAGGUACAAGAUAAAAGCCUUGGUGACUAAAUAGACAACAGGAGUCAAGUAUUUUAAACCAUUUUAUACCAUACUUGCCUCAAUAGUACACAGCUCUGUGGGAUCUUUUUUAAUGUUUACAUCUACUGUACAGAAUAUUAUAUUACCUUUCUACCAAAAGAAAAAACAAUUAGAACAUCUCAGCUAAUUGGAAAACAGUGUAUAGUAAAUAAGCUCAGAGUGUAAAACCCAUAAUUCCUCUUUGAUGCAACAAGAUGUUAAGUAGUUCACGCCAACUUAACCAUGGAGAUAGGGAUCUAUGAUGACAACUAAGAAUGAAAAACUUAGAAGUGGAACCUCUGUAAAAAAUGAAGGUCACCAUCAAUUUGACACUCCAAUGACAAGUCAAAUUAAUCUAAAACAAAGAACUUAAUAUAAAGUCCCAACACAGUUGGAUAAUCAGUUCAGUCAAGCAAUACAAGUCAAGGAUAAAAACAAUAAAAAAAAGGUUAUUAUUAUUAAUUAUGUAAUUUGUCAGGAAAGAAAAAAGGCUGGGAAAAUACGUCUGUUCAAAUGCUUGAUGAUUUGUUUACAAGAAUAGUCGCCAUUUUAUCCAUUUAAAACUAAACUCACUACUAAACCUGCUACUUUUAAGAGUUCUUGAGUGGAAAACCCCAGCAAAAUGGCCUGGAAAGCUGAAUUACCCCUUCUGAAAUUAAAAGCCCAAAUUACUGAGGCACAGUGCACCAACCAGAGACCUAAUCUUGGAAGCCAGAUGAAGAUGAUACUGCACGGUGAGGCCUAAAAGAAUUAGAAGAGUACUAAAACGGACAUAAGGAUUCUGUAUAGGAGAUGAACACCUUCAGGAACUGGACCACACAUAGCCAUGGCUCCUGAGGAAUUUAUCUUGUAACGUAAGGAAUCUGCCAAGAUAGUUUGUGCUAGAAAUAACCCAUCUAAGCCAGAUACUGUUGCAUUUAUAAAGUAAAUGUGUUGCUUUCCUCUCUGACAUUUACUGAGUAUUCAUCCCGGCCCUCCAAAGCAGAUAACAGAAGCAAAUGAAAAACGAAAGACCAGAAGCAGAACAGCGAAGGGUCCCUUAGGCUUGUGGUUAGUCAUAUGGGAGAACACGAGCCGCUCUGUUUGGCUAAUGGGCUGAAGAAAAUCAAUAUUCGAAAAACCAAAGGGGAGGCAGCUGGCUUGUAAUAUUUGGUGACCCAUAUCUCAGUCUUCUAUUCCAGCAGAGAAAGCAUUACUCACCCAAUCUUAUAUUACUGCUGGGAGAUUUGACCGGAGGAGGCUGGUAAUUGGUGACAAAUAGAUGCGUGUCCAGCCCUGCUAAUGUAACAUUAACAGAGCAGGCGUUCUAAUAUUACAAAUUACGUGGCUUCUUUGAAGAGGCCCAGAGUCUCAUGCAAAAAACAUGAACCUGGAAAAUGUAAGUGGGAGAGAAGGAUCAUCAGCAAGACUGCAAAUUGUCCUCUAAAGAUGCUGCAAGAUGAACUGCGAAUGUGUUACACACACAGGAAAAUCGCUGGCGCAGCGACCAGAGCUUUUGGUAAAAAACAAAGUGUAAGGUUUUAACAACAGAGACUGGCACGUGUGAGAGCUAUACAGAUAGGAUUAUUCUCAUUGUUGUAGACACGAGGACCAGGGAUUAUUAACCCAUUGGCUGCCAGAGAAUGCCAUAACCCAUUGUAAUGUUCAAAUCCACUCUAACAUUACUAUUGUUUUGUUCAAUGUAAACAGAGGUGAAGGUAUUUAAUAAAGGGACAGUCAAGUCAAAAUUAAACUUAAAGGGACAGUCUAGGCCAAAAUAAACUUUCUUGAUUCAGAUAGAGCAUGUCAUUUUAAACAAUUUUCCAAUUUACUUUUAUCACCAAUUUUGCUUUGUUCUCUUGGUAUUCUUAGUUGAAAGCUUAACCUAGGAGGUUCAUAUGCUAAUUUCUUAGACCUUGAAGGCCACCUCUUUUCAGAAUGCAUUUUAACAGUUUUUCACCACUAGAGGGUGUUAGUUCAUGUGUUUCAUAUAGAUAACACUGUGCUCAUGCACGUGAAGUUAUCUGGGAGCAGGCACUGAUUGGCUAAAAUGCAAGUCUGUCAAAAGAACCGAAAUAAAGGGGCAGUUUGCAGAGGCUUAGAUACAAGAUAAUCACAGGGGUUAAAAGUAUAUUAUUAUAACUGUGUUGGUUAUACAAAACUAGGGAAUGGUUAAUAAAGGGAUUAUCUAUCUUUUAAAACAAUAAAAAUUCUGAUGUAGACUGUCCCUUUAAAUUAAUUGAAUAGAGCAUGCAAUUUAAAAAAUAAAAUUACAAUUUACUUCUAUCAAUAUUGCUUAUUUCUCUUGGUAUCCUUUGUUAAAGAGUAACUCCAGGUGAGCUCAGGAGCGUGCAUGUGUUUGUAGCCAUCGGGCAAGAGUGUUUGUAAACAUGUUAAUAGUAUCAUACACUGCUGCCAUAGCGUACGAAAGACUCAGGUACACUCCUAACAGCCUGCCUACAAAAGAUGCCAAGAGUACAAAGCAAAUUUGAUGAUAGAAGUAAAUAGGAAAGCAGUUUAAAUUUGCCUUUUCUAUCUAAAUCAUGAGUGUUUCAUUUUGACUUUACUACUGCCCCCUUAAAGCAGAUGUGUUCCUCUAGCUGCCAGUAGCGCAAUGAAGAAAUCAAAUCAUUAAAGAAAAUGUUGGGGUUUCAUGUCCCUUUAAAGGUUUUUUUUUUUUGUUACUAGUUAUUAAGGGAGAUAU